GUGAGUCAUCGAAUCUUUGAACGCAUAUUGCGCCCGAGGCUUCGGCCAAGGGCAUGUCUUCCUCAGCGUCGCUUUGACCCUCACUCCCCCACCUACCUGAGUGUAGCGUUGGGUCCUCACGAGUGGACCUGGCCCUCCCAGCUGCUACUAGCGGCUGGGUUGGCUGAAGAGCAGAGGUUGAUGCAGGGACCCGCUAUGGGCCUCGGCUGGGUAGGCAAUUCAUUGCUGAUGCUUUAGCCGUUGGCUUGGGACCGUGCCUGUCGACCCAAACCAGGAAUACCGGGUCUUUAAACCGCCCGG
rnacentral:misc_RNA from 1 species